GCCAAAAACCUAGCCCAACUAAUAUGAAUUUAACCAAAUUAAUUAACCUCACCUAAUAAAUCAUUUUAACAUUUUAGUAAAGGAGAUUGAAAAUUUAUUGGAGCUAUAACAACAGUACCGCAAGGGAAAGAUGAAAUAUUUAAUGAAAAUUUUAAGCAAUAAAAAGUAAAGAUUACCCCUUGUACCUUUUGCAUCAUGGUUUAACUAGUCUAAUCAAGCAAAACGUAUUUUAGUUUGACUUCCCGAAACUAAGUGAGCUACUUCAGGGCAGCUAAAAGAGCGAACCCGUCUCUGUAGCAAAAGAGUGGGAUGACCCCCAAGUAGCGGUGACAGACCUAACGAACUUAGUGAUAGCUGGUUACUCAAAAAAUGGAUCUAAGUCCAACCUGAAAUUCACCAUAGUUUACCAAAACAACUUUCAAAUUUCAGAGUAAUUCAAAUAAGGUACAGCCUAUUUGAAACAGGAUACAACCUAGACUAACGGAUAAAACUAGCCCUUCUAUGCAAUCAAGUGGGCCUAAAAGCAGCCAUCUUUAAAAUAGCGUCAAAGCUUAAUUGUUCUAACGCCUAAUUACCAAAUUUUUAUUUAAUCCUCUAUUAUUAAUGAGUAAUUUUAUAUUACUAUAAAAAAUUUUAUGUUAAAACUAGUAACAAGAAGAAAGCCCUUCUCUUUAAUGCAAGCGUAAAUCAGAAAGGACAAACCACUGAUAUUUAACGUUAUGAGCCAAAAGUAGAAACCUACCAAGAAAACCCUACUCUCACCAAUGUUAACCUAACACAAGAGCAUUUCAAGAAAGAUUAAAAGAAAAAGAAGGAACUCGGCAAAUAUUAACCUCGCCUGUUUACCAAAAACAUCGCCUCUUGAGUACUUAUAAGAGGUCCAGCCUGCCCAGUGACCAUGUUCAACGGCCGCGGUAUCCUAACCGUGCGAAGGUAGCGUAAUCACUUGUUCUUUAAAUGUGGACUAGUAUGAAUGGCUCCACGAAGGUUAUACUGUCUCCUUUUUCUAAUCAGUGAAACUAAUCUCCCCGUGAAGAAGCGGGAAUGAAACUAUAAGACGAGAAGACCCUAUGGAGCUUUAAACAACAUAGCACUUGCCACACAACAUAAAAAUUCCCGAAAAUUUUAAAUUAGACAACUUGACUAUAAGUUUUUGGUUGGGGUGACCGCGGAGCAUAACACAACCUCCAUGAUGAAAGAAUCAUUUUUAAACUAAGACCUACGGGUCUAAGUAUCAAUAUAUUGACAUCCAUUGAUCCAAUAUAAUUGAGCAACGAACCAAGUUACCCUAGGGAUAACAGCGCAAUCCACUUCAAGAGCUCCUAUCGACAAGUGGGUUUACGACCUCGAUGUUGGAUCAGGGUAUCCCAGUGGUGCAGCCGCUACUAAAGGUUCGUU
rnacentral:rRNA from 1 species